ACAACAGUUGGAAACGACUGCCAAUACCGCAUGAAGCAUAGGGGUCGCAUGAUUCUUAUGCCAAAGAUUUAUCGCUUCAAGAUGGCCUCGCGUCUGAUUAGCUAGUUGGCGGGGUAACGGCCCACCAAGGCGACGAUCAGUAGCCGGACUGAGAGGUUGAACGGCCACAUUGGGACUGAGAUACGGCCCAGACUCCUACGGGAGGCAGCAGUGGGGAAUAUUGGGCAAUGGGCGCAAGCCUGACCCAGCAACGCCGCGUGAAGGAAGAAGGCUUUCGGGUUGUAAACUUCUUUUAAGAGGGAAGAGCAGAAGACGGUACCUCUAGAAUAAGCCACGGCUAACUACGUGCCAGCAGCCGCGGUAAUACGUAGGUGGCAAGCGUUGUCCGGAUUUACUGGGUGUAAAGGGCGUGCAGCCGGGUCUGCAAGUCAGAUGUGAAAUCCAUGGGCUCAACCCAUGAACUGCAUUUGAAACUGUAGAUCUUGAGUGUCGGAGGGGCAAUCGGAAUUCCUAGUGUAGCGGUGAAAUGCGUAGAUAUUAGGAGGAACACCAGUGGCGAAGGCGGAUUGCUGGACGAUAACUGACGGUGAGGCGCGAAAGUGUGGGGAGCAAACAGGAUUAGAUACCCUGGUAGUCCACACUGUAAACGAUGAAUACUAGGUGUGCGGGGACUGACCCCCUG
rnacentral:rRNA from 1 species